ncrna:Capra hircus (goat) microRNA chi-mir-144 precursor
GCCCUGACUGGGAUAUCAUCAUAUACUGUAAGUUUGCGAUGAGAUACUACAGUAUAGAUGAUGUACUCGUCCGGGUGC